rnacentral:rRNA from 1 species
UACGUAGGGACCAAGCGUUGUUCGGAUUUACUGGGCGUAAAGGGCGCGUAGGUGGCCCCUUAAGUGUGUGGUGAAAGCCCGGGGCUCAACCCCGGGUCGGCCAUGCAAACUGGGGGCUGGAGCACGUGUAGAGGCAGGCGGAAUUCCGGGUGUAGCGGUGGAAUGCGUAGAGAUCCGGAAGAACACCGGUGGCGAAGGCGGCCUGCUGGGCGAGUGCUGGACACUGAGGCGCGACAGCGUGGGGAGCAAACAGG